UCACAUAGAUUAUCCUGAUCAAGAUUUUACUGAAUUGAAACACUACAUUAACUCCUACUUAUUCGGAGGGAUCAAUUCCAUCUUGACUCACAUACUGACUUUACAGGUACUUGACUAUACCCAAAAAUCUUUCAUCACUAAAUUAAAAAUUCAGAUAGUCCGACACCAAAGCAUAGUGAUUUGCUUGCAAGUCAUCAUGGUGAUU
rnacentral:lncRNA from 1 species